rnacentral:lncRNA from 1 species
CUCAUCCAGGAGCAACGCUAGGUGAAAUGUGGAAAACCACACCCAGCAUCGGAACACACAGAACACGAGUGAGCAGCCUCCGUUCACUGCAAGUACUGAGUCACACUUACCCAGUCCUGGGAUUAGAACUCACCCUCUGAUUCCAGCUGACUCUCCUUCCACAGCUUCACCUUAAUUCAUGAGCUGCAACCCUUCCUAUGCCCACUUCUACAGGCACACUUCAGGUCUUUUCCAAGUAUUCAACUUACACUAUUACAAAAUUUGAAUCUCACAAUAACCCACUGAAAAAGCCAAUGAAUCUUCCUUUAUUACAAAAGAAGAAGAAGCCUCAGAAAAGGUUGAAAUCCUAACCCCCAAAGCAAUGGUAUCAGAAGGUGGGGACUUUGGAAAGCGAUUAAGUCAUGAAUGAGAUUAGCGACCUUAUAAAAGAGACCCCAGAGGGCUCAUUUGCCCCUGCUGCCAUGGGAGGACACAGCAAAAUGACAGCCUUCUACAAACCAGAAAGUGGGCCUUCAACACACAGUCAAUCUGUCUGUGAGAAAUAAAUUCCUGUUGUUUAUAAACCAGUUAGUCUACGGUAGUUUGUUACGGCAGCCCAAAUGGACUAAGGCAGUAAGUAAGAGAGACACUACAGGAAGAACUUUAAAUCAAUUUGAACUGAUUUUUAAAAAACACCUGCAAAUUUUAAUACUUCAUUAUCAGUAACAAGCAUCAGUAACAAUUCAUUUUCAAGUAAAACAUCACAAAGCUAUAGUAAAAAAAUAAACUGAUGCACUGUAUCACCUCCUGAAUAAAUGUGUAAUUCCAUACAAAAUAAAUUUGUUCCCUAUGGCUAUACUGUUCUGUGUAAAAAAAACUCAAUAGAUUAUAUAUUUCUUACAAAUUGCAUUAAGUACAUAUACAUACUCAGUGUUUUUCUAAAACUGUAACCUUUUAAAUAAUGUAACCAUCUAUAUUAUUAGGUGGAACCGAAAAUGAAUAGAUUAAACUAGGCCUCCAAAACAAAUUAUAAACUAAGUAAUAAAUAAGAAAAAAAUUAAACAACAAAAUAAGAAUCCACCCAGUAUAACACAAGCAAAUCAGCCAACUGUCAUACAGAGCAGCAUCUGGGUCAAUAUUUAUUAUUGUAUUUGGUAACUGCAAUCAACAGGAAUAAUAUGAAACACAGAAGCCAUACACACUUUCAUACAAAUUUUAAAUGUAAUAUUAACAUUACCUGUCAUCAAGAACUGUAAUAAUUUCUCCAGCUUUAAAAGUAAGUUCAUUGUCUUCAGCAGCUUCAAAGUCAUAUAUAGCACGAACUUUUCG